ACAUAGCCUCGAUAGGAAUGACAUCCUUUUUGGUUGCGGGUUUUGCUUUGCUCCACCCACAACCAAAAAGAUAUAAUGGAUAGCGGGAAAAAGC
rnacentral:sRNA from 1 species